GACGAACGCUGGCGGCGUGCUUAACACAUGCAAGUCGAACGGAAAGGCCCUGCUUUUGUGGGGUGCUCGAGUGGCGAACGGGUGAGUAACACGUGAGUAACCUGCCCUUGACUUUGGGAUAACUUCAGGAAACUGGGGCUAAUACCGGAUAGGAGCUCCUGCUGCAUGGUGGGGGUUGGAAAGUUUCGGCGGUUGGGGAUGGACUCGCGGCUUAUCAGCUUGUUGGUGGGGUAGUGGCUUACCAAGGCUUUGACGGGUAGCCGGCCUGAGAGGGUGACCGGCCACAUUGGGACUGAGAUACGGCCCAGACUCCUACGGGAGGCAGCAGUGGGGAAUAUUGCACAAUGGGCGGAAGCCUGAUGCAGCAACGCCGCGUGCGGGAUGACGGCCUUCGGGUUGUAAACCGCUUUCGCCUGUGACGAAGCGUGAGUGACGGUAAUGGGUAAAGAGGCACCGGCUAACUACGUGCCAGCAGCCGCGGUGAUACGUAGGGUGCGAGCGUUGUCCGGAUUUAUUGGGCGUAAAGGGCUCGUAGGUGGUUGAUCGCGUCGGAAGUGUAAUCUUGGGGCUUAACCCUGAGCGUGCUUUCGAUACGGGUUGACUUGAGGAAGGUAGGGGAGAAUGGAAUUCCUGGUGGAGCGGUGGAAUGCGCAGAUAUCAGGAGGAACACCAGUGGCGAAGGCGGUUCUCUGGGCCUUUCCUGACGCUGAGGUGCGAAAGCGUGGGGAGCGAACAGGCUUAGAUACCCUGGUAGUCCACGCUGUAAACGGUGGGUACUAGGUGUGGGGUCCAUUCCACGGGUUCCGUGCCGUAGCUAACGCUUUAAGUACCCCGCCUGGGGAGUACGGCCGCAAGGCUAAAACUCAAAGGAAUUGACGGGGCCCCGCACAAGCGGCGGAGCAUGCGGAUUAAUUCGAUGCAACGCGUAGAACCUUACCUGGGUUUGACAUGGAUCGGGAGUGCUCAGAGAUGGGUGUGCCUCUUUUGGGGUCGGUUCACAGGUGGUGCAUGGCUGUCGUCAGCUCGUGUCGUGAGAUGUUGGGUUAAGUCCCGCAACGAGCGCAACCCUUGUUCACUGUUGCCAGCACGUUAUGGUGGGGACUCAGUGGAGACCGCCGGGGUCAACUCGGAGGAAGGUGGGGAUGACGUCAAGUCAUCAUGCCCCUUAUGUCCAGGGCUUCACGCAUGCUACAAUGGCUGGUACAGAGAGUGGCGAGCCUGUGAGGGUGAGCGAAUCUCGGAAAGCCGGUCUCAGUUCGGAUUGGGGUCUGCAACUCGACCUCAUGAAGUCGGAGUCGCUAGUAAUCGCAGAUCAGCAACGCUGCGGUGAAUACGUUCCCGGGGCU
rnacentral:rRNA from 1 species